ACAAGCAACGUUAGAGUCCAAAAGAUUAGGCUGAAUGUCCCAAGUAAAUCAUCUUCAGUGAGAUUUGUCAAGCGAGUAGAGGAAAAGACAUUGACAGGAGAAGUGGCAAGGUCCCCAUAUACAACUCCAAGAGAUUGGUAAGCCAACAACAAGGUCUGCAUGGGUGGAUAUUCCUGAGAAAAUUACUCAAAAUCUAAAUAUCCUAUGAAGUGACUUAAAUGUAUCAAGACACUAACAAAAAAAAGUGUGAAGUUAUUAGAUUUUAGUGGAACUGGUAGUAGCAAAAGCACACAUCGAGGAUAAAAUGAGAACAGGUUGCUUGUGAUGGUUUCAUCAUGUCCUAUGUCAACUUCCAGACGCAGCGGUCUGCAGGAACCAUGAUGACAUUUAAGGUGUUCAAAAGGAAGAGGUAGUUAUAACUUAAUCACAUGAAGGAAGUUAUCCCGAAAGACCUACACUCUCUUGAAAUCUAUGCAAACCUAGCAAAAGAUCGGGCACAAUGAAAGAAAAGGAUCUAUAUGGAUGAUACCAGUUAGUUGGUUUAAGCUUUAAUUACGCUAAUAUGUUUACUUUCGAUCUCAAUGUUUGCUAGGAGUCUUUCGGUCUUGUUUGAGACUUCAUGUGUGGGCAAUGCAGACAGCUUCUAGUGCUACAAAAGCUAAUUUUUUAUUAUAUUUGAACUUAGACAAAGCUUAAUGGAGUGACAUGGACAAUGAGAAUUCAUAUAGCCGAGGAUUCAAUAGAUGGUCUUAAAUAGAGAGACAAUGGAUAUCUCUUGGAAUAUUGAAGAUGAGAAAAAGUAAAGCUUACCUUAGCUUUCUUUAAGGGAGAGUGGUAUGCCUGGAUAGCUGUCCUGUAUGUUUCCAUAGCAGGUACUGAUCCUGGAACAACUCUCCUGCUGUUGUUACAAAGGACACUUCCAAUAUUCUGGUUAAGAAGUUGCCAUACAUUGUGUCAUGCUUAUAUAUAGCUUCAAAAAACCCUCAAGGACUAUCGAUUUGCAAACAGGGAUAUCAAUUUGGUUGAUCCUCAGAAUAAAAUAAUAGAUAUAAACUAGUGCUUCAAAUUCUAAAAGCCACAAGUUGCUGGAGAGGGAGCAGGUAAGGAAACACAUCAUCAUAUAUAUUUUAGCAGUAAUUCCACCAAUUUGCAUACAAAUUUGUUUCAUCAUCCUGUUGGAGCACUUAAUAUGAAGAUAAAUUAUUUGGUGCAUUAUCUUGUUGACAUAUAACAUUUCCAUUGGAUUAUCUUUUAUACAAAGGAGUGACUAGUCACUCUCACAAGUGACAUAUAA